rnacentral:rRNA from 1 species
AGAGUUUGAUCCUGGCUCAGCCUGAACGCUGGCGGCGUGGCUAAGACAUGCAAGUCGUACGGAGGUAGCAAUACCUCAGUGGCGAACGGGUGAGUAAUGAAUCGCUAACGUGCCCCGGACUCCGGGAUAGCUGCCCGAAAGGGCAGGUAAUACCGGGUAACAUAACCCUGACGCAUGGCAGGGUUCUCAAAGGUCCGCCGGUCUGGGAGCGGGCGAUUUCGUAUCAGCUAGUUGGUGGGGUAACGGCCCACCAAGGCGACGACGCGUAGCCGGACUGAGAGGUUGGCCGGCCACAUUGGGACUGAGACACUGCCCAGACUCCUACGGGGGGCUGCAGUAACGAAUCUUCCGCAAUGCACGAAAGUGUGACGGAGCGACGCCGCGUGUGGGACGAAGUUCUUCGGAAUGUAAACCACUGUCAGGGGAAAGAAAGUUCUGAUCUACCCCAGAGGAAGAGGCGGCUAACUCUGUGCCAGCAGCCGCGGUAAUACAGAGGCCUCGAGCGUUAGGCGGAAUCACUGGGCUUAAAGCGUGUGUAGGCGGACUUCUAAGUACCUU